rnacentral:rRNA from 1 species
CAAUAGCGUAUAUUAAAGUUGUUGCGGUAAAAAAGCUCGUAGUUGGAUUUCUACCGAAGAUAGCCGGUCGGGUCUUCGACCUUGUAUCUGGUUUUGUCUUUGGUAUCCUCAUAGGGAACGUUUCUGCGCUUUAUUGCGUGGUGCGGUAUCUAUGACUUUUACUUUGAGGAAAUUAGAGUGUCACGGCAGGCAAACGCCUUGAAUAUAUUAGCAUGGAAUAAUAACAUAGGAUCUUCGUCCUAUUUUGUUGGUUUCUAGGGCUAAGAUAAUGAUUAAUAGGGAUAAUUGGGGGCAUCUGUAUCAACGCGUCAGAGGUGGAAUUCUUGGAUUGCGUUGCGACAAACUACUGCGAAAGCAUUUGCCAAGGAUGUUUUCAUUGA